AUGGGGGCCAUGGUCUCUAGGCAGAAAGGUCUGGCAAGAAAGAAUGUGGAGUCUUAGACAGAGUGCCCACCUAAAAAUAAGGCCUUUCAAGUCUCCAGCUGCAGCGAGUGCCUGAGCGUGUUGCUGCUGUGCAGAACAUGUGAGAAAGCAAAAGUCAUGCUCGGGAUGAAGAAAGAAAUUGUAGAGGAAAGAACAGUAGCUCCAAAUUUCUCAGGUUGAAGGAUAAGGACAGAGACAUCAGAAGCUGGGCAACACUGUUGUGGUUAUGCAUGUUCAGAGACAAUAGAGGACAACAGGGAGAAAUGAAUAUAUCCAAACCCGGGUCAAAAUCAUAGCAC